rnacentral:rRNA from 1 species
UACUCCUACGGGAGGCAGCAGUGGGGAAUUUUGGACAAUGGGGGCAACCCUGAUCCAGCCAUUCCGCGUGAGUGAAGAAGGCCUUCGGGUUGUAAAGCUCUUUCAGCAGGAGCGAAACGGUCGUUUUUAAUACAGACGGCUAAUGACGGUACCUGCAGAAGAAGCACCGGCUAACUACGUGCCAGCAGCCGCGGUAAUACGUAGGGUGCGAGCGUUAAUCGGAAUUACUGGGCGUAAAGCGUGCGCAGGCGGCGACAUAAGACAGAUGUGAAAUCCCCGGGCUCAACCUGGGAACUGCGUUUGCGACUGUGUUGCUAGAGUGUAGCAGAGGGGGGUGGAAUUCCACGUGUAGCAGUGAAAUGCGUAGAUAUGUGGAGGAACACCGAUGGCGAAGGCAGCCCCCUGGGUUAACACUG